CUAAUUGAGAAUCCUGAUUCUCUCUGUGCUACUAUUUUGCAUGCAAGGUAUUUUCCAUCAGGAGAUUUAUUAAACGCUGAGUUGAAAAAAGGGAGCUCCUUUACAUGGCAAAGUAUAUGGGCUGGAUUAACAUCAAAACGUGGUCAUAUAUGGCGUGCGGGUGAUGGAACUAAUAUUGACAUCUAGAAAGACGAAUGGAUCCCUAAUAGUGAAUCACGCAAAGUUAUAACUAGAAGGGGCCAGAACAUUCUUAGCAGGGUGAGCGACCUUAUUGACCCUAACACAAAUCACUAGGAUGUGGAUCUAGUGAGGCAGACUUUUUGGCAAGUGGAUGUUCAAAGGAUUCUUGCUAUCCCUUUAUCAUCUUCUGGCAUGCAAGACUUUGUUGCUUGGAACCUGACUCGUACGAACACCUUCUCUAUGCGUUCAGCAUAUUAUGCAGAAUGGGAGGGCCAAUAUGGCCAAAGGUUAAACAUAGGCCAUCAAGCAUUUGGUAUCAAUCCACAUCCAAAUUGGGAUAAAAUUUGGGGUCUCAAAGUGCCCGCAAAGGUUAAAAUCUUUCUUUGGAGAGCUAUGCAUAAUACUAUUCCUUGUCGGGUUGCCCUGGCGAACCGCCAUAUCAAAGUGAGCGGGCAGUGCCCAGUAUGUAAGAUUGGAGCAGAAGACAUUAAGCAUCUCCUGUUCAAGUGUAGCCAAGCAAAGCACGUGUGGGAAGCACUGGGCAUUCAUGACUUAAUU
rnacentral:rRNA from 1 species